UGCAUCGGCCGGGAAUCGAACCCAUUGGCAGGCGUGACAGGCGAGCAUUCUACCACUGAACCACCGAUGG